ensembl:lncRNA
UGGCAAUGUUGAGUUUAAUUAAACGUUUCUUAAAAGUAACAAAAAAAUGCUGCAGACCCUUUGUAAUGUGCAAUUUCAAUGUAGGCUGACGGCCAAGACAAGGUACUCCCCACUCAGUAUUCCUGGGGUGAUUCUCAUCUCUCCUCUGGUCCCGCUGACCUUAGACUGCCGCCACACUCAGGCUGAAUUUGACUCCUUCUCUUCAUCUCCUGCCACUUCCCAUCAGAUCAGAUCAGAUUCAGGGCGUUGGCUGUCUUCCCCCACCUCUUCUGUCUCUCUUCUGCGGACUGACAUCACCUCCCCUGAGCAGCUUCUCUAACUCUAUCUGUCAAAACUUCCUCUAACUGCUGUCACAUUGGCCCAGCCCUGUCACAUCACUCUGACCCUAAUGAAGAAAAGGCAGAGAGAGACGGAGAAGAACAGAUGUGAUGGAUGCCUGCUGAGUCACUGCCAUGGCCCAAAUCUCUGCCCUGCACAGCACAUUAAAGCAGAAAAUAUUGGUCAUCGCAGGCUGUGAGGUGGACAGGGC